rnacentral:sRNA from 1 species
GAGUUUUCAACUCCCAACCCUUGCGAACCGUACCCCGUUCUGUUCUCGUUGCCUCUGGCGGGAGGGGGCGGGGGGCCGCCCCUCGGGGCGCGCCCCCCUGCCUCCCCCGGUCCCCUCACGGGGCGCCCGCCAGCGGCCGCGAGCCGCCCGAACUUUUAUCACAACCGUAACCGUCCCGUCUGAGAAACAAACAAAAACAGCCAAAACUUUCAACAACGGAUCUCUUGGCUCUGGCAUCGAUGAAGAACGCAGCGAAAUGCGAUACGUAAUGCGAAUUGCAGAAUUCAGCGAGUCAUCGAAUCUUUGAACGCACAUUGCGCCCGCCAGCAUUCUGGCGGGCAUGCCUGUCCGAGCGUCAUUUCCCCCCUCAGCGCGCCCCUUCCCGGGGAGGCGCUGGCGUUGGGGCUCCUCCGCCCUCCGCGGCGGCAGGGCCCCCAAAUCCAGUGGCGGGCCCGGCUGGUUGGCUCCGAGCGCAGUACCGAACGCAAGUUCUCUCCCUCGCUCUGCAGCCCCGGCCGGCGCCCAGCCGUCAAGCCGCGCAGGUGGCCCAGCUCCCCGCUGGCCGCCUCGCAUCUUUUACAAGGUUGACCUCGGAUCAGGUAGGACUACCCGCUGAACUUAAGCAUAUCAAUAAGCGGAGGAAAAGAAACCAACAGGGAUUGCCCCAGUAACGGCGAGUGAAGCGGCAACAGCUCAAAUUUGAAAUCUGGCCCUCGGGUCCGAGUUGUAAUUUGGAGAGGAUGCUUCUGGCGCGGCGCCGUCCGAGUUCCUUGGAACAGGACGCCAUAGAGGGUGAGAGCCCCGUACGGGCGGCCGCCUAGCCUUUGUGAAGCUCCUUCGACGAGUCGAGUAGUUUGGGAAUGCUGCUCAAAACGGGAGGUAAAUUUCUUCUAAAGCUAAAUACCGGCCAGAGACCGAUAGCGCACAAGUAGAGUGAUCGAAAGAUGAAAAGCACUUUGAAAAGAGGGUUAAAAAGUACGUGAAAUUGUUGAAAGGGAAGCGCCUGUGACCAGACUUGCGGCUCGCGGAUCAUCCGGUGUUCUUCACCGGUGCACUCCGCGUGCCGCAGGCCAGCAUCGGUUUUCCUGGGGGGAGAAAGGUCGCGGGAACGUAGCUCUUUCGGGAGUGUUAUAGCCCGUGGCGUCAUGCCCCCGGGGGGACCGAGGACCGCGCUUCGGCAAGGAUGCUGGCGUAAUGGUCACCGGCGACCCGUCUUGAAACACGGACCAAGGAGUCAAGCAUUGGGGCGAGUGUCUGGGUGCCAAACCCGCACGCGAAAUGAAAGUAAACGCAGGUGAGAGCUUCGGCGCAUCACCGACCGAUCCUGAUGUCUUCGGAUGGAUUUGAGUAAGAGCCUUACCGCUUGGACCCGAAAGAUGGUGAACUAUGCCUGUAUAGGGUGAAGCCAGAGGAAACUCUGGUGGAGGCUCGCAGCGGUUCUGACGUGCAAAUCGAUCGUCAAAUAUGGGCAUGGGGGCGAAAGACUAAUCGA